rnacentral:rRNA from 1 species
UACGUAGGGAGCAAGCGUUGUCCGGAAUCAUUGGGCGUAAAGCGCGCGUAGGUGGCCUCGUAAGUCCGCUGUGAAAGUCCAAGGCUCAACCUUGGAAAGCCGGUGGAUACUGUGAGGCUAGAGUACGGAAGAGGCGAGUGGAAUUCCUGGUGUAGCGGUGGAAUGCGCAGAUAUCAGGAGGAACACCAAUAGCGAAGGCAGCUCGCUGGGACGUUACUGACACUGAGGCGCGAAAGCGUGGGGAGCGAACGGG